GCCAGGCACAGUGGUGCAUGCCUGUAAUCCCAGUGGCUUGGGAGGCUGAGGCAGGAGGAUCGCGAGUUCAAAACCAGCCUCUGCAAAAGUGAGGUGCUAAGCAACUCAGUGAAACCCUGUCUCUA
rnacentral:sRNA from 1 species